CUCCCUUUGAGAUCCAAGGAAGAUAUAAAAAACAUAGCAGUUUGGAAUGAAAUAAGGGAGAAGAAUCUGAAAAGCGGAAAAUAAAGGCCUCCUGUAACAAAAACA